UGGAUUGUUAUGGCUUGCUUUAAAUGAACC
rnacentral:piRNA from 1 species